rnacentral:rRNA from 1 species
AUUGAACGCUGGCGGAAUGCUUUACACAUGCAAGUCGAACGGUAGAGGGGGCAACCCCCUUGAGAGUGGCGAACGGGUGAGUAAUAUAUCGGAACGUGCCCAGUCGUGGGGAUAACGUAGCGAAAGCUACGCUAAUACCGCAUACGAUCUAUGGAUGAAAGCGGGGGAUCGCAAGACCUCGCGCGAUUGGAGCGGCUGAUAUCAGAUUAGGUUGUUGGUGAGGUAAAAGCUCACCAAGCCGACGAUCUGUAGCUGGUUUGAGAGAACGACCAGCCACACUGGGACUGAGACACGGCCCAGACUCCUACGGGAGGCAGCAGUGGGAAUUUUGGACAAUGGGCGAAAGCCUGAUCCAGCAAUGCCGCGUGCAGGAAGAAGGCCUUCGGUU